rnacentral:lncRNA from 14 species
CAUGAACAGAGCAAUCCCCUACCUAUGCUAUGAUCCUGAGACAUUUCAAGGCGAUCUGCGACUUCUUCAGGUUGUGCUUCUUCCUCUACCUUCUCCAUGGGAACGUAAGCAACUCUGUGCUUUCAGCUGGAUGGUAAGGCGGCUAUAACCAAAGCUGUGGGGAC